UCCCAGCGCGGUAAGAACCCGGGGCCCUGACGUUCUGUUCUCUCCUAAGUGGCAGUUGGACUCUCCCCAUGACCCCGCAAGUGUACGUGCUGACCUGUCUCCACGCACAGGGAGUGUUCCAGACUGUGCUCACCUGGGUCUCCAUCAGCUCUUCCCCGCUGCAGCCAGGCUCUGAACACCUGGGAGAUCACCUGAGGGCUGGGAGGGUAGCACCGUGCCUGUGCCUACAUUUGUGGCAGCGUGUGGGACAGCACAGUUACGGAGAGUAGGUGGAGGCCCUGGAGAGUCUGAGCAGGAGGACACGGCAUGACAUAUGCUGGGAAGGGCGCCCUACGCGGCCACGCGGGGAGCUGCAGGGGUGUGCACAGAAGCGGGAGCUCACGGACCUUGUGCAGGAAGGAUUCAAAACAAGGCAUCAAGGCAUGAGAGAACUCCAAGGAGUCCACCACAGGGGGCAUGAACGUCCGCUAGGCAAGGAGGGGACACUGUGGGUCCCCUGACCCUGUACUGCAGGCCCGACUGGUCCAGCAUCCUGAGAAGACUCAUUAACCACGGACCCAGUUUCCUGCAGUAGCCCCAGGACCGGUGGUAUUCACACUGCACUUGACUAAGGGCAGUCAGGAAUAGACAUCAGAGGGCAGGUGCUGAAUCGCUUCGUUACUGAGCCACCAACGUGCCCACCUCCUGGGAAGUUUGUGGCUGCCACUGCAAGGGCGGUGGGGCUGGAGUCCCAAGCUGCUGUCUACACUGCAGGCACCUAAGUGUGGAUGGGGAGGGCAGAGAGGGCAGAGCCUGCUGAUUAUUAAGAAGGCAGGGCACCUUUUCUUGCAUUCAGUUGCAUUCUGUCAUCUUCCACGAAUGCCUGCUACCUAUGCCUGCAGACUUUUCCGGCAGGUUCUCCCUGUGCAUGGGGUUGGGUGUGGGGGCUCUGCAGACAGCGCACGUCCCUCACCCUGUCUGGAAAAAUGCCAAGCAAGUGUCACUGCUGAUCUGUUCGUUGCCUUUUCACUUCUCUGUGCUGUUUCCACGCUUGGUGUGCAGUCCAUCCGGAGGCUCUGAAACUCGCUUUCUCUCCCGCGUGUCUGCUCUGCUCCCUCCAGCAACCAGUGGAGAUUUCUCUACUAAACUGAGCUCGGGACAAAGCUUUGUAAAACCAGAGACUCGGCAGGAGAAAGAAAGUCUAAAUAAAAUAA